rnacentral:rRNA from 1 species
UACGGGGGGAGCAAGCGUUGUUCGGAUUUACUGGGCGUAAGGGCGCGUAGGCGGUCGUGACAAGUCACUUGUGAAAUCUCCGGGCUUAACUCGGAACGGUCAAGUGAUACUGUCGGACUAGAGUACAGAAGGGGCAACUGGAAUUCUCGGUGUAGCGGUGAAAUGCGUAGAUAUCGAGAGGAACACCUGCGGCGAAGGCGGGUUGCUGGGCUGAUACUGACGCUGAGGCGCGAAAGCCAGGGGAGCGAACGGG